CCUACGGGUGGCAGCAGUGAGGAAUAUUGGUCAAUGGUCGGGAGACUGAACCAGCCAAGCCGCGUGAGGGAUGAGGGUACAGAGUAUCGUAAACCUCUUUUGUCAGGGAACAAAGGCGGGGACGCGUCCCCGGAUGAGUGUAACUGAAGAAAAAGCAUCGGCUAACUCCGUGCCAGCAGCCGCGGUAAUACGGAGGAUGCGAGCGUUAUCCGGAUUUAUGGGGUUUAAAGGGUGCGCAGGCGGUCUGUUAAGUCAGGCGUCAAAGGCCGGGGCUCAACCCCGGCCCCGCCGUUGAAACUGGCAGUCUCGAGUUGGAGAGAAGUAUGCGGAAUGCGCGGUGUAGCGGUGAAAUGCAUAGAUAUCGCGCAGAACUCCGAUUGCGAAGGCAGCAUGCCGGCUCCACACUGACGCUGAGGCACGAAAGCGUGGGUAUCGAACAGGAUUAGAUACCCCAGUAGUC
rnacentral:rRNA from 1 species